GCCCACUGGGAUAGCUCAGUCAGUAGAGCAUGAGAUUCAAUCUCGUAGUUGUGGGUUCAAGCCCCAUGUUGGGCA